rnacentral:rRNA from 1 species
AUGAAAGCACUCUUCUGGAAUGUUAGGGGUUUCGCCGCUCGGGGCCGUCGAUACCAGAUUCAUGAUUUGGUGUGCGGGGAUAACAUUGACAUUUUAGGACUAGUGGAAAUGUUCAAAGAAUUCUUCUCCCCCUCUGAACUGUCUGCGGUUGCAAGCACAGAUAGAUUUGAUUGGCAUUUUCUUCCUGCCUCGGGCCACUCUGGGGGUAUUCUCAUUGGGUCUAAGCGGGACGUGUUUGAUUUCAUUACUUUUGAUCAUGGCAUAUUUUGGGCUAGUGUGGUGGUUCACCACCGACAGUUAAACACUUUAUGGGAAUGUCUAGUGGUUUAUGGCCCCGCUGAUCACUCUCUUGCGCCUAUCUUUCUUGAUGAGCUUUCUAAUAAGACCGAGGCUUGUAACAUUCCUUUAUUUAUUGGCGGUGACUUCAAUCUCCUGCGUUCCCCGACCGAUAGAAAUUUUCCCAAUUCUCAUGUCCGCUUGCCAAUGCUUUCAAUGAGUUCAUUAGUAAUUGUGCCAUUCGUGAGCUUCCUAGGGUGGGGGCUCGUUUCACCUGGUCAAAUCAUCGGACUAAUCCUGUCCGGUCGGUGCUGGACCGGGUCUUUGUUUGUAAUAGAUGGGAUUCCCUCUUCCCUCGUGCCUCGUUGA